AUUGAACGCUGGCGGCAGGCCUAACACAUGCAAGUCGAGCGAGCGGCGGAUGGGUGAGUAAUGUCUGGGAAACUGCCUGAUGGAGGGGGAUAACUACUGGAAACGGUAGCUAAUACCGCAUACCAUCAGAUGUGCCCAGAUGGGAUGAGCGAGUAGGUGGGGUAACGGCUCACCUAGGCGACGAUCCCUAGCUGGUCUGAGAGGAUGACCAGCCAGACUGGAACUGAGACACGGUCCAUGCGCCUACGGGAGGCAUCGGUGAGGAAUAUGGCACAAUGGGAGCAAGCCUGAUGCAGCCAUGCCGCGGGUGUGAAGAAGGCCUUCGGGUUGUAAAGCACUUUCAGCGAGGAGGCGUUACCCGCAGAAGAAGCACCGGCUAACUCCGUGCCAGCAGCCGCGGUAAUAC
rnacentral:rRNA from 1 species